UGCAGUCGACGAUGAAGCCUCACUUGUGGGGUGGAUUAGUGGCGAACGGGUGAGUAACACGUGAGCAACCUGCCCCUGACUCUGGGAUAAGCGCUGGAAACGGCGUCUAAUACUGGAUACGAGUAGUGAUCGCAUGGUCAGCUACUGGAAAGAUUUUUUGGUUGGGGAUGGGCUCGCGGCCUAUCAGCUUGUUGGUGAGGUAAUGGCUCACCAAGGCGUCGACGGGUAGCCGGCCUGAGAGGGUGACCGGCCACACUGGGACUGAGACACGGCCCAGACUCCUACGGGAGGCAGCAGUGGGGAAUAUUGCACAAUGGGCGGAAGCCUGAUGCAGCAACGCCGCGUGAGGGAUGACGGCCUUCGGGUUGUAAACCUCUUUUAGCAGGGAAGAAGCGUGAGUGACGGUACCUGCAGAAAAAGCGCCGGCUAACUACGUGCCAGCAGCCGCGGUAAUACGUAGGGCGCAAGCGUUAUCCGGAAUUAUUGGGCGUAAAGAGCUCGUAGGCGGUUUGUCGCGUCUGCUGUGAAAUCCCGAGGCUCAACCUCGGGCCUGCAGUGGGUACGGGCAGACUAGAGUGCGGUAGGGGAGAUUGGAAUUCCUGGUGUAGCGGUGGAAUGCGCAGAUAUCAGGAGGAACACCGAUGGCG
rnacentral:rRNA from 1 species